AGGCUACCGAUGGCAAAGAAGUGAUUGCACCGAUACUAAAAAAAAAAAAGUUCCAAUCACUGAUAUUUCUUGGAGUACGUACUGAAAUGUGUCCAGACAGUGCAAGCUAGAGCUGGAAGAUGAGAGGAGAAGCAUGCUCUUUGGUGGAACAAUAUUGCCAUCUCAUGGUGCAGGUGCAUCCCUACAAAGUCUGCAGUGAUGCUCCCAUCCACAGCAUUCAAGGUCGCGAGCUCCGAGCGCAUGUGAGUCCCACUGCAGAAAAUCCAGGUUCCUAAUGCACGUACUCCAGACGUGCAUCCAUCCCUGCUCAGCGCCCAGCUCCUGGCCCUGCUGCGUGUUUGGAUCCACCUUCUCGCAAUGACAGCGGUGGGAUCGGGCACACCGGCUCACCCUGUGGCGCAGGCAGUGUUUUCCUUCUGCUGUGGUUCAGGGGAUGGCAUCAGCCGCUCUGUCCCCAUUGAGCAGAGCACGAG